GACGAACGCUGGCGGCGUGCUUAACACAUGCAAGUCGAACGGAAAGGCCCCUUUGGGGGUACUCGAGUGGCGCACGGGUGAGUAACACGUGAGUAACCUGCCCUUGACUUCGGGAUAACUUCAGGAAACUGGGGCUAAUACCGGAUAGGAAUCCUUGCUGCAUGGUGGGGGUUGGAAAGCUUCGGCGGUUUUGGAUGGACUCGCGGCUUAUCAGCUUGUUGGUGGGGUAGUGGCUUACCAAGGCUUUGACGGGUAGCCGGCCUGAGAGGGCGACCGGCCACAUUGGGACUGAGAUACGGCCCAGACUCCUACGGGAGGCAGCAGUGGGGAAUAUUGCACAAUGGGCGGAAGCCUGAUGCAGCAACGCCGCGUGCGGGAGGACGGCCUUCGGGCUGUAAACCGCUUUCAGCAGGGGCGAAGCUUGUGGUGACGGUACCUGCAGAAGAAGCACCGGCUAACUACGUG
rnacentral:rRNA from 1 species